CCUGUCCCGCGGCCCCGUCCCGGAGCUCCCGGGGGAUCGCGAGUUCCCCUCCCGGUGCCGGGGACACGCAGCUCCUGCCCUGCCCUCUGCAGAGAGCACCCCUGAACCCGCUUGCACCCCUGAACCCUAAAAUUCACCUGUCCACCCGCUGAGUUGGAUUUAGGGCCCAAAUCAGGCAGAUUUCGUUAAAACGGUAGCGCUGACACAGGGCAGAGCAGGGUUUUGGAACAGCCCUGCUGGGGUCUGGAGCAGCCAAGCCAGACUAGAGAGGGGAGGAAUAAAGCAGCGCUUAAUUAUUCUGCACAGCACCGACCUGCCUUUCCCUGUGAUGAAAUCAGAGUCGCCAGCAUGACACCAAAUGCUUCAGCAAGCAGAACACAAACUGUCUCUGACACCUGCCUUUACUUGGCAUGGAGUGGUGACCGGCUGCCAACACAUUAAAAGCAGCCCACAUGGUAUCACAGCAAGGCUGCAGGUUUCUCUGAGCAUGAUGAAGGCAAAUGGCAAACCCACAGAUAAGGAAAACUGGCAAAAACCAACCCCAUUGGUGUGAUACUUCUAUCAAAGCACAACCUUUGCCAGAAAUUUCCCCAACACAUCUGCAACAAACCCCAUCACCCUAAACCCCAUCAUCCUAAACCCCAUCAUCCUAAACCCAUCCUUCUUCUGCACCCUCAGCCUCCUCCCAGCACCAGAAAUGCCUUGCAGACUGCUCUGUCAGCCCAUCAGUUGAAUGUAAAGAUCUGGUUUUAUUGCCCAAAAAUCAUUUAUUGCUGGCCUAAAAUAACUUUUCCUUCCAGCUUUUACCUGCUUAGAUUUGGUCUCAUUUAUUGCUUGUGUGAGUGUUGCAUUGCACCUGGAGAAAUUAAGUAACAGAAAGUGGGAGAAAGGCAAUGCUGGGUAUAAAAAGUGAAUUAAAAAAACAUAGGAGAGCAGCAAAUAUUGAGGAGUUUUCUGUUGUUUUCAUGACUCUUGGACAAGCUUCCUAUUUGUGGUGGUUUUUUCAGGAUAACUGUUGAUGUAGAGAACUUUGCUGGUGUCACACAUUCAGGUUUCUCCAAGACUUUUGGUUUGCACUGUGUGGAAUUUGCACCCAAACCCUUGUGCAGGGGACAGGACACAUCCAAGUGAGGACAGAUGAAGGGCUGAUGAUGAAUUCCAGCUCCAGUGUGUUUGAUAUCCAUAACAGAGGUAUCAUAAAGCCUUUCCUGGCUCUCAAGCAAUAAUCUGCUUUAAAUACGGAGAAGUGGAGUCGUGCAGGUGCUGUCGGGUGCUCAUGGCCCAGAAAACCCAAUUCAAAGGAUUUACUUGGACACAAAUGAUUCUCUUGUCCAGUGGAUGGCUGCUGCUGUCCUGCCAAGGAAAAGGAAUGGUUUGAAGGAUUUGGUGUCACUGUGGGGAGUUUUUCCCAAGGAAGAGAUCAGGGAAUUGUGGAAUUCCUUGGCAAAGGCGUGACAAAGAUCCUGAGGCUGGCAUUGGAUGAAAUAGGCUUGGCAGAGAGAUGCAAUUAGUGCUGAGGCUAAUUAAAUGCUUGGCUCAGGAGGACAGAGAGGUCACUUUCCUUCAAGGCCUGCAAGAUAGGAUCACAUGGAUCAAAGCUCAUUUGUGAGAGCAGCAGCCCCUGGAAAAAGGGCGGGUUCGGCUUCUUUUGGGUUAAACCCUGCAAAUCCACCAUGCCCAGCUCAUCCUGGUGGCCAAAACAACCAAUGAGGCCUAAUAUCAAAUGAUAAUAAAUGAUCAAACUCUUGGUGGUGGAGUUGGGAG
rnacentral:lncRNA from 1 species